GCACUCUUCUAAGUGCUAGAAAUACAAAGUCAAAAAUAGUACCAUUCAAGCAGAAGCUUACAUUCUAAUUGGGGAUACAACAUGUAGAUAAAUAGCUACAUAUAACAAACAUAUACAAAGUCUCUACAAGGUAGUCUUAGAAGAGAAGGCUCUAAGUGCCUGUCAGGCUUCACAAAGACCUCCUGCAUUAGGUGGCAGCUUCAGGUAUCUGUAAGGAAGUUAAGGAUCCUAAAAGGUAGGGAGAAGGUGGGGGAGGACAUUCCAGACCUAAGAACAUUUAGUACAAGGCAUGAAGAUGAGAGAUGGAGUACUUCAUCUGAGGAACACAGCAAGUAGGGCAGUAUGGCUGAAUCGAAGGCUAUAUGGAGGAAAGUUUAAGAGGAUAGUAACAGUGGACAGGUUGCAGACUGUGAAGGGUUUUAAAUGCCAAAGAGUAUUUGAUAUUUGAGCAUAGAGAUUACAGGGAGUCUCUGGUUUAUUGAGCAGGGAAGUGACCUACAUUUUUGGAAAAAUACUUGGCCAAUUAUAGAAUAGUUUGAAAAUCAGACUGGCUCGUGUCUGUUUUUCCUCUCCUUCAGGAGAAGAACUUUGUUAAACUUUGAAGUCUUGUAUAAAUGUGAGUUAUGCUUUAAAGGAAAAAAACUGAAUUUUUUUAUGUUACUUAUAUUAUAUGUGGCUUUGGACCCAACAGGCACUCCCUCCCCUACAUUUAUGAAUGAAUUAGGUAUAACCAUGACUUCAGUGGUUCAGGAAGCAAAAUCCUUUUUGUAUAAGCUUAUAUAAAACAAAGAAAGCGAGACUUUCCUUUUGUAUCUUUUUACUUUGAUCAAAACAAUGCUGAAAAUAGCAAAGGCAUUCAAUCUAUGCUCUUACUGCUAGUGAAAUAAAAGAUAGUAUUUAGUCACCACCUUUGAAAUGCUCUUUUACCACUGGUCUCUUAAUUGCCUGACUUAAUGGUUCUCAUUCAGUUUUCAUCUUUCUUGGCCUUAUGGUAGCCUUUGUCACUGCUAACUCACCCUCUUCUCUUGGGUACGCUCUCGGACUCUACACUUGUGACCCCGAGUUCUCCACACUGCUUCCACUUGUCUCUUUGCUCCUCAAUCUUCUUUUGGAUUUCAUUCAGGUUAUGUCUAACCACAGAUGUCCCCAAAGGCUCGUCUUUAACUCUCUUAACACGAGUUCAGUUAUCAUAUUUUUGCAGAUGAUUCCUGUCCUAGUUUCUCUCUCAAAUUCCAAUCCCACAAAAACACAUUUUGGGUACCUCAGCCUGGAUACUUCAUAUGUUAUGUCAAACUCAAGUUCAAUUCAUCAGCCUUCCCUCCCAGAGCCCCUCCUAGCUUUUCUAGAACUAUGAAGGUUAUCACUAACCUGGUAGUCAUUCACAAUCGACACUCCAGAUGUUUGUUCCUGCCUUUUCAUUUCCUGAAUACAUUCCCUACUCUCCAUUCACACAGCCAUCAUUUUGGUGGAAGCCCUUAUUAUCUCAUUCCCUUACUAUGAUAGCCUUCCAAGUGGUUUCUUUCCCUUGUCUCUCCUUCAAUCCUUCUCCACUCAGCUGCCAAAAUGAUCUUCCUGCAGUGCAGAUCUGACCAUGUAAUUCCCUACCAAAUAAACUCCAAUGAAUCCCUGUUAUCCCAAGAUUAAAAACAGAAAGUGAUAAAAGUUACUAUUCUAAGUUCCUUAGGACCUGGCCUGUUUUUUUCCCCCUAAUCUUUUAAUAUUUUACUCUCCUCCAACACACCAAGAACUAAGGUCUUUCCAACUCUAGACUCAGUACUCAAUCCACUGUGCCACCUAGCCCAAGGGGAGUAGGUAGUACAAGAAUUACCUCCAAACAAAUUCAAGGUCAAUUGCACCUUGCCCAAGACCACAGUCAAAUGGUAAUAAGUAAUUGGUGUAUUUCUUUUUCCACAACACCGAUUUAGAAUAAGUGUCAGUUAAACAAUUAGAGACAUUUAGAGGUAGAAGCUAUCUUACAUAUUACAUCAUUAAUCUGUCAUUAAGGAAAAUUUAGGUUUACCAAGUUUGCCUUAUCCAACAAUGUCAUACAUCAGGUUAAUGGCAGAACUGGACUUCAAAUGUAAUCUUUGCCCUACAUUAUAUGCUGUUCCUCUCACCAAAUAUUCUUUUUAAACCUUCCUUUUCACCUUUAUCAUACAUUAAUCCCUUUCAUAUACUCUUUGGUUCAACCAAAUCAGAGUACUUCUCGACUUCACAAGAAUACUUCAUGUCCUGACUCCACGCCUUUACAUUCAUGAUAAGUGUACUCCCUCUUAAAAAUUGUCAUUUCCUGCAAAGCUCAGCUCAUCACCUUCUCCAUGAGGUCUUUCGUGAACCUUCAAGCUCUUUCCACAAACUCCUUUGUAUUUAUUUCAUAUACAACUUGUAUAUAUUUAUAUUUAUGAUGUCUCCUCCUCUAAGACAGUCUUUGAGAGGAGGAGCCUGCUUUUUUUUGUCUUUCUUUUUUGUUCUCUGGACUUAACAUAGUACCUGACAUACUAAGUGCUUAAUGAAUGCUUCUUUACUAAUUGUAGUGUUUGCUUUAAAACAUAAUUGCUUUUUCUAAAGAAAAAAACUCAAAGAGCCAUGUAAUUAAUCUCUACUGUGCUUCAAAGUUAUAAUGAGAUAAUGAAGAACAAAAUUAAAAGUAACAUAAACAGUUUUUCCCUUAUGGCUCGGCUUUGGCUUUUUUGAGUGUCCUUUUCUCUAAUGUAUGAGCUGAUUCACAAGUACUGAAAAUUCUGGGACUGUUGGUCUUUUUUCUAACCUCCCAAAAAGUCUCUAGUACAAGUCCAGAAAAACCAAUCUUGCCCCUGGGUAAGUUUCAAAACAGCUUUUUCUUAAAAUCUUUAUAAAUCAAACUCAAUAAUUCCCUAACCUGUUUAAGCCAGUUUGUGCCUGGAAAGGGGCCAAACUUUUUUUUUCUUUAAACAUUUGAAAAUACAAUCUAACCUUUUUUUCAUUUGCUUUAAAAUACUUUUCAGAAGAUUUCUGUCUAUAAGAUAGAGUAUAAUUAGCUCCAUUCACCAGUUCUCUGGAUGAGUUACCUAUCCAAGGCUGUUACCUUAUAGAAAUAACAAAUGAAUAUACAGUAAUAGCCUCAUUUUACAACACAGAGAACUAAAAGUGAAUUUCAGUGAAUUAUAAUCUUCGCUAGUUUCUUUGGGGGGGGGGGAGGAAGAAGGGGAGAAUCCCACAAUAAGACAAUAAAAAUUUUAAUUAGGGAUGCAGCAAACCUCUUGAAAAC
rnacentral:lncRNA from 1 species